AUACGUAGGGGGCGAGCGUUGUCCGGAAUGAUUGGGCGUAAAGGGCGCGUAGGCGGCCCGGUAAGUCUGGAGUGAAAGUCCUGUUUUUAAGAUGGGAAUUGCUUUGGAUACUGUCGGGCUUGAGUGCAGGAGAGGUAAGUGGAAUUCCCAGUGUAGCGGUGAAAUGCGUAGAGAUUGGGAGGAACACCAGUGGCGAAGGCGACUUACUGGACUGUAACUGACGCUGAGGCGCGAAAGUGUGGGGAGCAAACAGGAUUAGAUACCCUGGUAGUCCACACUGUAAACGAUGAAUGCUAGGUGUAGGGGGUAUCGACCCCUUCUGUGCCGCAGUCAACACAAUAAGCAUUCCGCCUGGGGAGUACGGCAGCAAGGUUGAAACUCAAAUGAAUUGGCGGGG
rnacentral:rRNA from 1 species